rnacentral:tRNA from 1 species
UGUGGUUGUAGCUCAGUGGAAGAGCACAUGCUUAGCAUGUGUGAGGCACUGGGUUUGAUUCUCAGCAUCAUAU